rnacentral:rRNA from 1 species
UACAGAGGUCCCAAGCGUUGUUCGGAUUUACUGGGCGUAAAGGGUGCGUAGGCGGUCGGGUAAGUCUGGUGUGAAAUCUCCAAGCUUAACUUGGAAACUGCAUUGGAAACUAUCCGGCUAGAGGUUGGGAGGGGGGACUGGAAUUCUCGGUGUAGCAGUGAAAUGCGUAGAUAUCGAGAGGAACACCAGUGGCGAAGGCGAGUCCCUAGACCAAUCCUGACGCUGAGGCACGAAAGCCAGGGGAGCAAACGGG